AGUGAAUAGAUACCCCGGUAGUCCCAGCCGUAAACGAUGCUCGCUAGGUGUCAGGCAUGGCGCGACCGUGUCUGGUGCCGCAGGGAAGCCGUGAAGCGAGCCACCUGGGAAGUACGGCCGCAAGGCUGAAACUUAAAGGAAUUGGCGGGGAGCACAACAACGGGUGGAGCCUGCGGUUUAAUUGGACUCAACGCCGGACAACUCACCGGGGGCGGACAGCAAUAUGUAGGCCAACGCUGAAGAACUUUGUCCUGAAUCGCUGAGAGGAGGUGCAUGGCCGUCGCCAGUUCGUACUGUGAAGCAUCCUGUUAAGUCAGGCAACGAGCGAGACCCGUGCCCACUGUUACCAGCAUGUCCUCCGGGUACGAUGGGUACUCUGUGGGGACCGCCGAUGUUAAAUCGGAGGAAGGUUGCGGGCCGACGGUAGGUCAGUAUGCCCCGGAAUCUCCCGGGGCUACA
rnacentral:rRNA from 1 species